UGUGUUGGUGGUUAUUGUGUCGGGGGUACGCCCGGUCCCUUUCCGAACCCGGAGCUAAGCCCGAUUGCGCUGAUGGUACUGCACCUGGGAGGGUGUGGGAGAGUAGGUCGCCGCCAACCACA
rnacentral:rRNA from 1 species